rnacentral:rRNA from 1 species
UCCUACGGGAGGCAGCAGUGAGGAAUAUUGCACAAUGGACGAAAGUCUGAUGCAGCCACCCCGCGUGUGGGAUGAAGUUCUUGCGAACGUAAACCACCGUUAGGGAAGACGAUAAUGACGGUAUUCCCAGCGAAAGCACCGGCUAACUCCGUGCCAGCAGCCGCGGUAAUACGGGGGGUGCAAGCGUUGUCCGGAAUCACUGGGCGUAAAGGGCGCGUAGGCGGGAUUGCAAGUCUGGGGUGAAAGUUCGGGGCUUAACCUCGAAUCUGCCUUGGAAACUGCAGUUCUUGAGUUCGGUAGAGGGAUGCGGAAUUCCUGGUGUAGCGGUGGAAUGCGUAGAUAUCAGGAAGAACACCGGUGGCGAAGGCGGCAUCCUGGCCCGAUACUGACGCUGAGGCGCGAAAGCGUGGGGAGCGAACAGGAUUAGAUACCCUGGUAGUCCACGCCCUAAACGAUGUUCACUAGAUGCUGGAAGAUUCGACCCUUUCAGUGUCGUAGCUAACGCGUUAAGUGAACCGCCUGGGGAGUACGGCCGCAAGGUUGAAACUCAAAUGAAUUGACGG